rnacentral:antisense_RNA from 1 species
CUUGAUGGACCCGAGCAGCAGCGGCUCUCCGCUGCGCUCCUGGCCGUAGGUGGCGAGCAGGGCCUGUGCCUC